UCGAGGGGAAACGACAUCGAAAGCUUGCUUUUGAUGGGCGUCGACCGGCGCACGGGUGAGUAACGCGUAUCCAACCUGCCCACCACUUGGGGAUAACCUUGCGAAAGUAAGACUAAUACCCAAUGAUAUCUCUAGAAGACAUCUGAAAGAGAUUAAAGAUUUAUCGGCAACGGAUGGGGAUGCGUCUGAUUAGGUUGUUGGCGGGGUAACGGCCCACCAAGCCCACGAUCAGUAGGGGUUCUGAGAGGAAGGUCCCCCACAUUGGAACUGAGACACGGUCCAAACUCC
rnacentral:rRNA from 1 species